rnacentral:rRNA from 1 species
UACGAAGGGGGCUAGCGUUGCUCGGAAUCACUGGGCGUAAAGCGCACGUAGGCGGAUUGUUAAGUCAGGGGGUGAAAUCCUGGAGCUCAACUCCAGAACUGCCUUUGAUACUGGCGAUCUCGAGUCCGGGAGAGGUGAGUGGAACUGCGAGUGUAGAGGUGAAAUUCGUAGAUAUUCGCAAGAACACCAGUGGCGAAGGCGGCUCACUGGCCCGGUACUGACGCUGAGGUGCGAAAGCGGUGGGGAGCAAACAGGGAAGUUAA